ACAAUUCUGGUUUUUUGCCGCGCGAAAAUGCAACGAAAAAUCAAAGAAAAAAAGAGAGAAGAGAAGUUUGAAUUUACGAGGGAUUUCGGAUAAAAAAUUAAAAAAUAAACAGUAGUUCUCGCAAUUCAAGUGCAAUAUCCGGUGUUUCUUCGAAAUUUUACGUUGAAUCUUUGAAAUUCAGAGCAGAUUACGGGUGCGGAUAAUCGAUCUUCCAUUUCAUUUUCGUCUAGAUCAAGAUCUGGUAUGCUUGACCAUUAUUCUAUUACGAUCCUUCUGUUUUGGAAAUGAUCUGAAGUUUUGUUAGGUUUUUAAGGUUAUGCAUUUAGCUUUGUGAUGAAAUUUGCAUAUAUAAAUAAAUAAAACAGUGCUUUCAAGGGAGGGAGAGAUGAAGUAAUCGUUAAUUAUAUGCAAAACAAUUGAAAACUGGAAAUAUGCAAAUAAGGAUCACAUUUUUAGGUAGUUUUCAGGGAAAGAAAUAGCUAUCAAUUUUUUUUCUCAGUGAUACAAAUAGAAACAUCAAAACCAGGCAAUUAUGAUUAUAUAUAUAUUGGUAAUGAUCUGAAAUUUUGUUAGGUUAUUAAGGUUACGCAUUCAGUUUUGUGAUAAAAUUUGCCUUUAAAUGUAUAUAGAACUAGAUAAAACAGUACUUUCAAGGGAGGGAGAGAUGAUGUAAUCAUUAUUUAUAUGCAAAACAAUUGGAAACUGGAAAUAUGCAAAUAAGAAUCACAGAUUUAGGUACUUUACAGGGAAAGAAAUAGCUAUCGAAAUUUUUUUCUUAGUGAUACAAACAGAAACAUCAAAACCAGGCAAUUAUGCUUAAUUUGUUUUUUUUUUUUUUUUGGUUUUACAAUUAAACUGUGACAGUUAUGCUUGUGAAAAGUUCUCUGGUAAUCUCAUCUAGGAGUCCAUUAAGCACAUACUUCUCCACAUCUUUGAUAACAUCAUCUUUCUCAAGAAACCCAAACAUGGCGUUAUUCCAACCCAAGUCCCACAUACAAUUCAGAUCUGGUUCCUUGUUGUUGACAUCAGCCUCAAGCAUUUUGGGUUGGUAGUCUUCAAAGGGAGAAUCUUCUCUGCCGUCCUUUCCAUAUAACUUCAACUUAUCAAAGUCCUUGCACAUUUGUUUGACCAACUCAUCCAAGGAUUUUGCUUUGUUUGAAGUGAUGGGUACCUUUAGAAAUGGGUGAACACUUAGUUCCUGCCUUCUUCCUUUCCUUUUCAUUACUUCGUAGCCACAGUCUAAAACGAGCUUGCUGUCUUGGUCGAUGUGAUGGUCGUAGCUGUUUGAAUGAAGAAUGCUGAUAGGAAUGUUGAGUUUGAAAAGCGCCUCUGCUGUGUUCAUAAAUAGUUGGCUUUUCAGAAGUAUCUGCUUGAGGUGAUUUUCACUUUCUGUUAGUGGCUCUGGCUUCUUUGCCAUAGAAGUUCUUUGAUUCUGUGGCUGUGGGAUGCAAGAAUUUUCUGUGCUCUCUUCACGAGUUCCUAAAAAGCAAUGAACUUUAGCAGAUAAGUUUCUUCCUCUUCCAAAACCACCCCUCCAGAAACAAUAAAAAGGAAAACAUCUGAUACUGCUAUUACCAUGCCGUAAUUGAUAGAAUGAUUAGAAGAAUUGACGUUUCCUUAAGAGGGUGGUAUCUUAUGCAUGUAGUCGACUAUUUUCGGUUAGUUUCCAUAUAGUGAAGUGGGAAAUUAUGCAUGUUUGUUUUUAUGUGCAUUCACUUUUUCUGAAGUAGUAUAUGUUAGAAGUUGGUGUAAGCUCAUCUUUUUAGACACUUCAGUUAAAUGAAAAAAAUGAGAAAAAAAAAAAAAAAACCAUUCAUGAAUUGUAAUUUGAAAAUUUGAGAAAAGAUCUGCAAAAUUGUACUUACCUUGAAGUGGAUCAGAUACACUCUCUUUAACCUCAUGUUCAUCGUCUCUGCCAAAACCAGGUUCUUGAUUUUGCUGUUCUUUUGUAAAUGUUGGCACUGUAUUCUGACACUGCAUAAGAUCGAAACAGUUAUUUGGGCUUUGACUAAUAUAGUUGGUUAAUGAGUACAGUUAUGGCGAUCUUACGCUAUGUUUUGUAGCUAAAACUUGUUCUUCGUUUUGACCUUGGCAUUCAUCUUCUAAACGACUCUGCAAAAUUGAAUCUUUUUGUGCUUCUGUCUGCAGUUCUUGUGCUACGCGUGAUGAUUUUGGGCUUGC
rnacentral:lncRNA from 1 species